rnacentral:lncRNA from 1 species
UCUCUUCUUUCUUCUUUCUCCUUCCCUUCGCUUCUCCAUAAGCAACCAACCUGUCUCUUGUUGGAUAUGUAGCUGGCCUGUUGGAUCCCUUGAAGCAUCCCCCUCUCUACUCUCUUUCUCUCUCUCUCUCUCUAAAACCCUAAUCUCAUUCCAUUUCUUCACUCUCUCUUUCAUGGCUCCCAAACCCUAGCUAGCUUCGUCGUCCCAUUUCUUCUUCUUCUUCUUCUUAUCCUUCUUUUUUCUAAUUUCAUGGGGGAAAUUGGGAAAGCGGAAAUUAAUUUAAUUGAGCAUGCACCACUAGCAGUUUAAUUUAAUUCGAUUUUCAAUUUUAAUUACAUGUAUGUACCUGAUUGAUUCUUCGAUUUGAACCCCUCUGGCCUUCUUUGAGAUCUGAGCUUUUCUUUUUUCCUUUAUCCAAUUUUUUUUUUUUUCUGUGUGUGUGUGUGUUUCUGUGGUUUAGGGUUUUGGAAUUUACUCGUAUGGAUAUGAGAG